UACGUAGGGGGCAAGCGUUGUCCGGAAUUAUUGGGCGUAAAGAGCGUGUAGGCGGUCCGGUAAGUCAGCUGUGAAAGUCAAGGGCUCAACCCUUGAAAGCCGGUUGAUACUGUCGGGCUAGAGUCCGGAAGAGGCGAGUGGAAUUCCUGGUGUAGCGGUGAAAUGCGCAGAUAUCAGGAGGAACACCAACGGCGAAGGCAGCUCGCUGGGACGGUACUGACGCUGAGACGCGAAAGCGUGGGGAGCAAACAGG
rnacentral:rRNA from 1 species